AUUGAACGCUGGCGGCAGGCCUAACACAUGCAAGUCGAGCGGAGCGGCGGACGGGUGAGUAAUGCCUAGGAAUCUGCCUGGUAGUGGGGGCUAACGUCCAGAAACGGGCGCUCAUACCGCAUACUAUCAGAUGAGCCUAGGUCGGAUUAGCUAGUUGGUGGGGUAAAGGCCUACAAAGGUGACGAGCCGUAACCGGCCUGAGAGGAUGAUCAGUCACACGGGAACUGAGACACGGUCCAGACUCCUACGGGAGGAAGCAGUGGGGAAUAUUGGACAAUGGGCGAAAGCCGGAUCCAGCCAUGCCGCGUGUGUGAAGAAGGUCUGCGGAUUGUAAAGCACUUUAGGUUGGGAGGCGUUACCAACAGAAUAAGCACCGGCUAACUACGUGCCAGCAGCCGCGGUAAUUC
rnacentral:rRNA from 1 species